AGGGUGUAUGGUCCACAUUACCUGUAAAUGAGAAGAAAUUAAAUCUUGCGUUUAGAUCUGCAAGGAGUGUUAUAUUAAUAUUUUCUGUCAGGGAAAGUGGAAAGUUUCAAGGUUUUGCCAGAUUGUCAUCAGAAUCGCAUCAUGGUGGCUCUCCUAUACAUUGGGUGCUUCCAGCAGGAAUGAGUGCUAAAAUGCUUGGAGGUGUUUUUAAAAUUGACUGGAUUUGCAGGCGUGAAUUACCCUUUACUAAGUCAGCUCAUCUCACCAAUCCCUGGAAUGAACAUAAGCCAGUAAAGAUUGGACGUGAUGGACAGGAAAUUGAACUUGAAUGUGGAACCCAGCUUUGUCUUCUGUUUCCCCCUGAUGAAAGUAUUGACUUGUAUCAGCUCAUUCAUAAAAUGCGUCACAAGAGAAGAAUGCAUUCUCAGCCUCGAUCAAGAGGACGUCCAUCCCGUCGAGAACCAGUCCGGGAUGUGGGAAGGCGUCGACCAGAAGAUUAUGAUAUUCAUAACAGCAGAAAGAAACCAAGGAUUGACUAUCCCCCUGAGUUUCACCAGAGACCAGGGUAUUUAAAGGAUCCCCGAUACCAGGAAGUUGACAGACGAUUUUCAGGAGUUCGCCGAGAUGUGUUUUUAAAUGGGUCCUACAAUGAUUAUGUGAGGGAAUUUCAUAACAUGGGACCACCGCCUCCUUGGCAAGGAAUGCCUCCUUACCCGGGAAUAGAACAGCCUCCACACCAUCCCUACUACCAGCACCAUGCCCCGCCUCCUCAAGCCCACCCCCCUUACUCAGGACACCAUCCGGUACCACAUGAAGCAAGAUACAGAGAUAAACGAGUACAUGACUAUGAUAUGAGGGUUGAUGAUUUCCUUCGCCGCACACAAGCCGUUGUCAGUGGUCGGAGAAGUAGACCCCGAGAAAGAGAUCGGGAGCGAGAGCGAGACCGCCCUAGAGAUAACAGAAGAGAUAGAGAGCGAGACAGAGGUCGUGAUCGAGAAAGAGAGAGAGAAAGAAUAUGUGAUCGGGACAGAGACCGAGGGGAAAGAGGUCGUUAUCGAAGAUAAUGUGCUUUUUGGAAGCACUGACUGAAGAUAAAAAAUAUUGUAUUUUUUUUGUGUGUGUUUACAAGUAGUAAAUUUAUUUUCAGCUGUCUACUUAAAGCUCAUUGUGUAGAAGGAUUUAUUAUCUUCUUUGUUCCAAGCAUGCAGUAGAAUAAGAACUGGAAAACUCAGAUCCGCCAAAAAAUGCACAGUUGACAGUUGAGUUGACACUUUUAUUGGGGCAGAAUGGAACAGUCCAAGAAUGUAGAUAUUGAUUCAUUCUCCAUAAAUGUUCUUUUUACAGUGUAUUCAUCCUAGAGUUAUUUUGUUUGUUUGUUUUCCUUCUUUUGGACC
rnacentral:lncRNA from 1 species